rnacentral:rRNA from 1 species
CGAAAAGUACUAUCAAUUAAAUAAAAUAGGUGAAACAAAAGAAUAGCGAAGAAGAAGCAAAUGCGCUUCACGCUAAUUCCAAGUACCAACACAAAACAAAUUCAAUGUUUGGUGAAGCAACUUGCUUAGUGGCGGACGGGUGAGUAACGCGUGAACAAUCUGCCCCGUACAAAGGGAUAGCCUCGGGAAACCGGGAUUAAAACCAUAUAACACUUAACUGCCGCAUGGUAGUGAAGUCAAAUCGAGUAAGAGGUAUGGGAUGAGUUCGCGUCUGAUUAGCUAGUUGGUGAGGUAAGGGCUCACCAAGGCGACGAUCAGUAGCCGGCCUGAGAGGGUGAACGGCCACACUGGAACUGAGACACGGUCCAGACUCCUACGGGAGGCAGCAGUGGGGAAUAUUGCACAAUGGAGGGAACUCUGAUGCAGCGACGCCGCGUGAGUGAAGAAGGUCUUCGGAUCGUAAAACUCUGUCCUUGGUGAAGAAAAGGACGGUAGCCAAGGAGGAAGCCCCGGCUAACUACGUG